GGAGCUGGGGACCGAACCCAGGGCCUUGCGCUUCCUAGGCAAGCGCUCUACCACUGAGCUAAAUCCCCAGCCCCUACGACACAUUUGAGAAUCCAGUAUCUAAGUCUUUGAUUUCAGGGAAAGAGCGUUGGAAGGAAAGACUUCCACGCUGCAGCCCACAGCAAGUCGGGCCACCACCAUGUGGGGAACUCUGUUAAAGAGUUGCAGUAUUAGGGAGGUUGAGGACCAGUGCUCUAUGCCAAGGGUAACUUUUUGUCUUUCUACUGAAGAAACUGGGGCAAGGAAGGUUUUAUUCAUUUGUUCAUUUCUGUGUUUGUUUGUUUGUUUGUUUGUAGUGUGUAGUGGGCUGGAGAGAUGGCUCAGCAGUUAAAAGCAUUUGCUGCUCUUGCAGAGGAUCCCAGCGCCCAUGUCUAGAAGUCUACGACUGCCUGUAACUCCAGCUCCUGAGGGUCCCGUGCUCCAUGGACACCAGCCCUCACGGACACACAUUCACACAGUUGAGGUUCCGUCUGUCGCUAUGCGCUGUAAUGCUCAAUACUGGCCCUCGAGGCCUGGUUGCUCCCAGGAAGGAGAAAAUCUGCCCUUACACAAGUGAUGCUGUGUAACCUCACCCCUCCCCCCAAGUUAUCCCUGAUUGGUGAAUAAAGAUGCCGACAGCCAUUAGCUGGGCAGAGGAGAGACAGGCAAGGUUUGGGUUCCUGGGCUUGAGAUCAGAGGAGAAGCCAUGAGGAGAGAGAGAGAGAAGGUGGAGAGAGGAAAAGAUGCCACAGGGUGGGUGAGUCAUAAAACCAGGGCCAUGAGGGCUGGCCAAUUGGAGUUAAGAGCUGACCAGAUGAAACGUGACAAGUUAUAACUUGGAGUUGUUGAUGGGGACGUAGAUUCUAAUAUCACGGAGGGUAGACAUCUGCCAGCUCUAGUGCAUUAUAGGCUUACUAUAAAUAUAAAGAUUGUGUGGUUUUUAAUCAGCGAGCUGAAUGAUCAAAGAUAGAGUAGAAACCUCCCAUUAAUAUUAAAAUGUUUUCUACAACGCACAUACCCUUGAUUAUUACAAAAUAAAGUAAACCUACUAGCCAGAUGUGGCGGCGCGCACCUUCAAUCCCAGCGCCCAGGAGCAGAGGCCGCAGAUCUCUAUUCAUCUGAGGUCAUCUUGCGCUACACAGUGCGUUCCAGCGAGCAUUGAGGCGCAUACGUGUGAUCCCGGUACUAAAGGGGGGGAGGGGUAGGAUCAUGAGUUCACAGAUCUGAAAAGAAGACGUGAACUGAGGAAGCAUGGACCAGGAACUGAACUGCGUGAGGGGAAUUCUGAGUGCUUGUGAGAGAAUGCCUGGAAAACAAGACAAGAGUUGUGACCUCGGUUUCUUCAAAACCUCGAUCUGUUCUUGGAGCGGUUCUCAGUGUCGCCCCUAGGUGUACUAGAUGAGAGUGGGUUUACUUCAGAUUAUUCAUUAAGACUAGCUAUCGUUAUUUGUUUAUAUGCUUCUAUGAAAAUACACGUUUUGGGGGGGAGGGGGGGUUGGGGAUUUAGCUCAGCGGUAGAGCGCUUGCCUAGCAAGCGCAAGGCCCUGGGUUUGGUCCCCAGCUCCGAAAAAAAGAAAAGGAAAAAAAAGAAAGAAAGAAAGAAAGAGAGAGAGAGAGAGAAAAAGAAAGAAAGAAAGAAAGAAAGAAAGAAAGAAAGAAAGAAAGAAGGAAAGAAAAUACACGUUUUGCCGUGUGCAGCGUGUCCUUUAGAUUGUACGUUUACUCAUGUGGUUCUCCUUAAACCUCAGAGGAUAAACCGUUCGAUGCUCUGAAUAAAGUUGGCUAUUGCAUGAGACUUUAGUCCGCCUCACUUUUAGGCUCCGUUCUCCCAGGUUCAGCCACCUUCAGAGUAGUAAACAGAGCACCUGACGGAGUAGGCAGGAGAAGAUAUGCCCAGACUCAACCAACUGGCAAACAGAUAGAAAGGAUUCAAACCUGCUCACACACUUGGCUCCGGCUCUGUCAACACCGCGAAACCUUUAGAACAGUUUGCCCCGUCAGAGUCCACAAGAGCUGUGCUGACAGCGUGGCCUUAAGGAGAACUGAACUUACGCCAGGCAGACGGAAGCAUUUCCCAAACACCCACGCUGCCGGUCUCAUCAGAAGCCUGAGGCCACCCUCAGCUGCUGCCGCAUGCUCUCCUGAACUGUGGUAACAGGACGGCAGAGGGACCACUGCAAUGUGCUGGCUGGGGGGUUGCAUUGCAACCUGUCCCGAGACCUGCCAGCGCCAGUGAGACCUCUCUCUGACCCUCCUCCCAC
ensembl:lncRNA